UCCAAACUGCAAGUAACCCACAUUUUUUAAUAAACUGGCCUGAUAUGAAGAACUUCUUACCUGAUGAUUCCUGGGUCAGCAUUUCCAAACAAAGCAGGAAAAAAACCCAUUUCCCUAAGCUGAAUCCUCUUUCUGUAAGAGCAGCCUUCACCCCCAGGCAACUGUACCACCACAUCAGAGCCCAGCAUUCAGCUCCCACCAAACAGCAGUGCUCGCUGAAAACAGACAAGGACUGGUGCUGGAUCGAUGAGGCAAAGGGAAUUCAUCCAUGGAAAUGCAAUCUGCAUGGCUGAACAUGGAUAAGGAGGAGACAGCAGGAGUGCUGAACAGGGUUGACCGUGCACCACAAAUUAGGAGGGGAAGAAGCCAGUGAGAUUUUUCAGACAGUCUCUCCGUGUGCAAUUAGGAUGAAGUUAAGCUCAAGGACUCGGCAAUGCAUUUGGUUGCAGAAGCAGCAGAAGGAUGAAGGCGAGUGGAAAAAGGUGGAGGUGCUCAUCACUGAGGGCAGUAGGAGGCAGGUAGGACACAUGUACGUCGGCGUUCAGGUCAACUGCAGCCAUCUAAGGGCUUCAAAUAAGCAUAGCUGACUGGUGAAAAGUGAGACGUUUCCAGAGGGCGGUUGUAGGACUAUGUUAGAUAGCCAAAUUGGGGUGGGCUUGCUUAACCCUGAUGAUACCCUGCUCUCCGUUUUCACUGUGGGAGAGCACUAGGUGACUAUCUUCUGCUGGACUUAAGUCGAUGAAAACUCCCCCACACCUCUUAUGGAGGGAAAAACCAGGAAAAUCCAGGCGUGAAUGCCCAAGUGACAGCUUGUAAGAGACACAGCCAACAAUCAGCUGCAAGUGUGAGAAGGGUGAGAACAGGAGGCUAAAAGAAGGGCUGCCAGGGGUGCCAAAAGGGAGAGAUUAUUCAAGUGGAUCAAAGGAAAGGGAAGCAGGACAUGAUAAUCUGGGACAGCCCUUCUCCAGGAUGGAAUCCAUUGGGCUGCAAGCUCACAUCUGCAGGGAAGCAGCAGGAGCCACAGGGACCGAGUCUCUUAAAGCAGGACUGGAUGAAGCAGCAACGCAUGUGCUCUAAGGAAGAGUCCCAGAGCAGGCAGGGGACAUCUGUAUUGAAAGACAUCUCCAGAUCUUAUUUCGUCAUUGUUUUAGAAGGAAUAGUAGUUCAUCUGGAGACUGUUGGGACUAUUGUCAAAGUAAGGCAGUAAUCCAUGGAGCAAAUCCCCACCUGGCCUUACUAAAGGAGGUGACUUCACUACAGUGAGUAAAGCUGCUGCAGCUUUUCUCAGAGAAGGCUGUGAAGAUGCUUUUCGGUGAACGUGAGUCACACCAUGGAUCCGAUUGCCACUUCUGAACCCUCUGGCUCUGGGGACCAUGAGGUGGCGCAGUUACCCUGGAUAUCAGAUCACAGCUGGCUGCACACUGGCCAGGGAGUCGGUGAGGUACUGCGGGACAAGAAAGAGCAAUCAAGCGUAUUGCACUCUCCUGUUAGCAAGUGUGGCCCUUGCAAGGAUCCCUUUCCUCUCCUUUUCUUAAAUAGGGCUUUAAAAAAAUAAACUAACGGCAAAUGCAUUUUAUGUUUUCCCCCUGGAAAGCACUACAAGGACAUCGCUUGUUUUAUUAGCGGGGCAGUGGGAUGCAA